CAGAUGUUGCGGAGUACUUCUUAAGUCGGGCGGUUGAGGUCUCCAGCAACGAAUAUGAACCUUCUGAACGUGAUAUCAUCUAUGCAGAAGGGGUCACCAAAGGGAAUGGUUUGGCUUUCAUAGAAUUUUCCCUUGAUGAUUGCAGCCCAAUGUCUGAAACAUACACAGAUAAUAUGGAAGCUCCACCCCCACCUCUUACAAAAUACCAACUUAUUAGGGGAAAUGCAAAGGGGAUGAAUGAGGGUUGCAAAUGGGUGGAAAUGUUUGAAGAUGUCAGUGUAGUAGUGUUCUGUGUUGCCCUCAGUGACUAUGAUCAGAUGUGUCUUGCACCGGAGAGUGGUGGCAGUGGAUCGCUACUUCAGAACAAGAUGAUGCAAAGCAAGGAGCUGUUUGAGGCUAUGAUC
rnacentral:misc_RNA from 1 species